AUGACAAGCCACUCUGGAAACAAAGAAGAGGGCAUCUUCUUCAGAUUCCAGCACAAAGCCACAGAAAAAGAAAACUCUGGCAAAAACCUCAGAAAAACAAAAGAAAAAGAAAGGGCCAAAAAUCAGGCUGUCACACGGCGCCGGGGCCCCGGUGGAGCUCGUCGUCGUCCACGCCAAGCCGGCCGUGUCCUCCGUGGGCUCCAGCCGUGUCCCAUCCGUUUCCGCGCCGGAGACGUCUCCGUCUCCUUUCGUGGGAGACCCGCAUCCGGCCCCGCGACAGGGGAGGGGCGGCGGCGGCCUCGUGUAGAUCCCAUCGGGAUCCCGUCCAGAUCACGGCAUGGACACCAAGGCCACGAUGGCGAUCACCCUUCGCACCCGCUAGUUCAUGACCAACCGCCUGCUCGCCCGCAAGCAGUUCGUGCUCGAGGUCAUCCACCCCAGUCGCGCCAACGUCUCCAAGGCGGAGUUGAAGCAGAGGCUCGCCAAGGUGUACGAGGUGAAGGACCCCAACUGCAUCUUCGUGUUCCGCACCCACUUCGGAUUCGGUCUCAUCUACGACAACCUCCAGAUUCACUGGUGGCGGCAUCUGCCAUGUAG
rnacentral:rRNA from 1 species